rnacentral:rRNA from 1 species
GACGAACGCUGGCGGCGUGCUUAACACAUGCAAGUCGAACGGAAAGGCCCUGCUUUUGUGGGGUGCUCGAGUGGCGAACGGGUGAGUAACACGUGAGUAACCUGCCCUUGACUUUGGGAUAACUUCAGGAAACUGGGGCUAAUACCGGAUAGGAGCUCCUGCUGCAUGGUGGGGGUUGGAAGUUUCGGCGGUUGGGGAUGGACUCGCGGCUUAUCAGCUUGUUUGUGGGGUGGUGGAUUACCCAGGCUUUGACGGGUAGCCGGCCUGAGAGGGUGGCCGGCCACAUUGGGACUGAGAGACGGCCCAGACUCCUACGGGAGGCAGCAGUGGGGAAUAUUGCACAAUGGGCGGAAGCCUGUUGCAGCAACGCCGCGUGCGGGAUGACGGCCUUCGGGUUGUAAACCGCUUUCGCCUGUGACGAAGCGUGAGUGACGGUAAUGGGUAAAGAAGCACCGGCUAACUACGUG